CAAGAGGAGAAACGCCUCCAAAGCUGUUGAUGCUUCACAGAGAAAAACAAUCCAACUCAAAUCUAGUCAAUGAUUACAAAUCAACCAAGUGACUGUAUAACAGACAAACAUUAUGAUCUGUUUCAUGGUCAGACCAUGUUCUUCAUGCUCAAAGUCCACAGGAAUCUACUUCCUUGUUGUAUUCAGAACCUUCAUUUGGAGUUGCUGGAACUUCAGGGACACAAAGCUGUUCAGAGAAAGAACUAUAAGAAAGAGCAGAUGAAUUUCUGUCUGAACGUUUGAACAGAAUUCAGGAGGAUUUCCCAGUAUUUAUGGAUCGGAUUCAGACUUUCCUGCUGUCCUGCAGCUGAUGGGAGAUGACCGUUUUCUUUAUGAAAGCAGACUUUGACAGUUCACAGAUGAAGGUAGAAGGUGUGUGUGAGCUGAUCCAGUGAAUCCAGCAGCAUGGAUCAGUGUGAGAACACACAGGAGGGAGAUCCUCCCUCUAAAAACACUCUGUGUGAGGAAGAUGAGAGCCAGAGCAAAGCUCAGAGGAGUGACGACUCAGAAGAUUAUUUAACUGCAUUUAAAAACAGCCGUUCAAGAAUAAAACAGAUUCAUCAGAGUCUCCAAACUGGAUCUGGAUCUGAACCCAGCUGUGUGUCCUUCAGGAGUGACUGUUCAAAGAAUAAAAUAAUUGAUUUUAAAUCAGCAGCAUCUUCUUCUGCAGAGAGGUGAGUGGAUUAAACCAACGACAGCAGUUCAAAAGGGAAAUUGUGUUUGUCAAAUAUAUUUUAGUUUAAAUGUGAACAAAUACAUACACUAUGAUGAAUCACAUACAGUUUCCUACAAUGGCAGACACUAAAUUCAGGACACAUUGUUUUUCCAAGGGGACAUUUUUACAGACUGUCU
rnacentral:lncRNA from 1 species